rnacentral:rRNA from 1 species
CCCUGGGUUAGUCGGGACCUAAGGAGAGACCGAAAGGUGUAUCCGAUGGACAACAGGUUGAUAUUCCUGUACCAGUGAUAUUUGUUUGAACGAUGGAAGGACACAGCAGGCUAUGGUAUCCACGCUGCUGGAAAUGCGUGGGCAAGCAACGAGUCUUGGGAGGAGUUAAAUGCUUCUUCCUGUACGGACAAGUUGUGAUGCGGAGGGAAGUUUUAGUACCGAAGUACCCGAUGUCACACUGUCAAGAAAAUUUCCUAGUUAGAAUAUCACUGCCCGUACCGCAAACCGACACAGGUAGUCGAGGAGAGAAUCCUAAGGUGAGCGAGAGAACUUUCGUUAAGGAACUCGGCAAAAUGACCCCGUAACUUAGGGAUAAGGGGUGCUGACCUCUGGUCAGCCGCAGUGAAUAGGCCC